GAAAGAGAUGCACUCAAGUUCAUGGGACAGGUGCACGGACGUCUUUGUGUUUAGGUUGAGGAAAACUGUCACCCACUAGCUUCCUGCCACUCUCCACUCUUGGGUUUCCCUCCUGGGUGAGUGCCCAUUCACUCACAAUGGAGCCGGGAGGAAGCAUCUGGAAGCCUUUUUGGAGAAAGAGGAGAGAGGCCAGCACUUCAAAUCAGGAGAGGAGUUGAGCUAGCAGGCCACAGCCACAGGAGGUUAGGGUGGGCUAGGGCGCCAUUGCCCCAGUUUGGGAGGCUCCAGACCCAGACAGCGAGAAUGCCACUAGCCUCAGGCUUGAGCCCUAUGCCUGGUGCCAUUCAGCUGCCACCUAUUUGGAUCCUAAUGUGCUUUGGGACCCCAGCAGUCAUAUGCCAGAGGUGGGCUCCUCUCUUGUCCUUCUGCUGGUCCCUCCUCCCGAGUUCCAGCCCCUGUGGGUCCUCCCUGCUCAUCCUUCAAGCCCUGAAAAGUCAACCCUUCUACAGACAGAACAUGGCAUCUGCGGAUCCAGUGAGCUCCGUAUCCUGAACUGCCUGCUGCCCCCAGAGGUAAUUAUCACUCCCCAGUUACACACUGGAGAUGCCAGAAUCACCUUUGCCUCCUUCCUCUCUCUCCACCUUCCAGAACCCCAGUCAGACUUCCUGGCCUCUUCGGCCUUCCUUCUGAGUGGUUGCUAGCUUCUUCUCUUACUCCAUGCCCCCAUCUCUCUGGGACACCUCCUCGGAGGUCUUGCCUCUCAUCUCCCAUCUUCUACCUUCUCAGGCUGUCAAGAUGCUCUUCCUAAAACACUGUUGUCACCACGUCAUUCUCCCUACUCACCGGCACUGGCUCCUCAUUGCUAGAAGGUGGAAACUCCUCAGCACAGCAUUGGAAGUGCCCUAGAAACAGCCCAGCCCAGCUUCCCACCUGUCUCUGACUCAUCUCUCCUUCUGACCCACAGUUCUGCCCACUGUCCUUGGAACUCCCACCAUCAAGUCACAGUGCAGCUUUCUGUAUUCAGCGAUGUAUUAGGUAUAAACCUUAGCGCGUUCAGGAAACUUCUCUAAGCCUAGGCAACUACACCAGAGUGUCAUCGCUGUGAGCUUUAAAUGAGAGAUGCAUGUAAAGUGCUUAGCAGUGUGCCUGGCAGAGAGCUCGAUAAAUGUCAGCUCUUGUCACUUGAUCUCACCCAUUUCUUUGCCACAAAGUCUUUUCAUAUCCACGAGCACAUUACAAGAAUUACAUCAUGUGAACCACCACGUUAUGUGAUUCACUGCCUUGCUACACCACCAUAUGGCUUGUUCAUGACCUUUUCUCUCAUAUGAAAGGCCAAUGUUAAGGGCAGGACAUGUGUCUUGUUCAUUGUUUCAUUGUGACCGUGUCAUGGUGAUCGUGACGCCUGGUGUGUGGUGAGUGUUGACAGAUGAAGUGUAUCCAAGGGACCUAGUGCAGAGGGAAUCAGCCACACAGCCCACAGGUUGUGCUCUGCGCUAGGAUGCCCGGCUGGGCAUGGGAGUGAAGAGGGGUUCCCUUCACAAAGCCGGAGGUGGGACUGCGUCCAUCAUGGGAAAAAAGUGGCUGUGUUAGCUGCCUAGGGCUACCAUAACAAAGUGCCACUCACCUGGGGACUUAAAACAAUACAGAUUUGUCAUCUCACUGUUCUGGAGGUCAAAAUCAAGCUGUCACUGAGACUAGGCCCCCUCUGAAACCCGAAGGGGAGGAAUCUUCCUUCCGUCUUCUAGCUCCUGGUGGCCAUCAAUCCUUGGCUUACAGCUGCAUCACCCCAAUCUCUGCCUCUGUUGUCAUGUGGCAUUCUCCCCUUGUGUCUGUGUCCAAAUGUCCCUCUUCUUAUAGGACACCAGUCAUGUGUGACUAGAGCCCACCGUCUCUCAGAAUGACCCCAUCUUAACUUGAUUCCGCCUGCAAAGAAUUGAUUUCCAAAUAAGGUCACUUUCACCGGUACAGGGGAUAGGAUUUCAACAUAUCUUUUUGGGGGACACAACUCAACCCACAACAGGUGCCUUUUAUAAUUCACACAAAAGUACUGUCUGCUUGUGCCUGGGGGCUGCAUCCACCCGGAAGUGGUCUUUGUGCAAAUUAGAAAAAGGAUGCUCCAUGGUGGGUGAUGGUAGGCAUUGGCCAUGGGAUCUUCUCUUUGAGGACAUGCAGAAGCCAGCUUAAAACAACAAAGACUAUUAUCACAGAGGUCCUGAGGGAGGCGCUCAGCUGGGAGAGUCUGGCCUUGGGGUGUCAGGCGGCAGGGGGCUGUUGACCACGACUCCAGCAUCUCAAGGAUGGAGCAGGCCGGAAGGAUUGGCUUUCGAGUUCACUCAUGUGGUUGUUGACAGGUCUGAAUUCCUUGCGGUGGGACGGAGCCCUCAGUUCUUUGUCAGGUGGGGCUCUCCACAGACCUAUCU
ensembl:lncRNA